GUGGGGAAUUUUGGACAAUGGGCGCAAGCCUGAUCCAGCAAUGCCGCGUGCAGGAAGAAGGCCUUCGGGUUGUAAACUGCUUUUGUACGGAACGAAACGGUCCGGGUUAAUACCCUGGGCUAAUGACGGUACCGUAAGAAUAAGCACCGGCUAACUACGUGCCAGCAGCCGCGGUAAUACGUAGGGUGCAAGCGUUAAUCGGAAUUACUGGGCGUAAAGCGUGCGCAGGCGGUUUUGUAAGACAGGCGUGAAAUCCCCGGGCUCAACCUGGGAAUUGCGCUUGUGACUGCAAGGCUGGAGUGCGGCAGAGGGGGAUGGAAUUCCGCGUGUAGCAGUGAAAUGCGUAGAUAUGCGGAGGAACACCAAUGGCGAAGGCAAUCCCCUGGGCCUGCACUGACGCUCAUGCACGAAAGCGUGGGGAGCAAACAGGAUUAGAAACCCCGGUAGUCC
rnacentral:rRNA from 1 species